rnacentral:rRNA from 1 species
GACGAACGCUGGCGGCGUGCCUAAUACAUGCAAGUAGAACGCUGAAGGAGGAGCUUGCUCUUCUGGAUGAGUUGCGAACGGGUGAGUAACGCGUAGGUAACCUGCCUGGUAGCGGGGGAUAACUAUUGGAAACGAUAGCUAAUACCGCAUAAGAGUAGAUGUUGCAUGACAUUUACUUAAAAGGUGCAAUUGCAUCACUACCAGAUGGACCUGCGUUGUAUUAGCUAGUUGGUGGGGUAACGGCUUACCAAGGCGACGAUACAUAGCCGACCUGAGAGGGUGAUCGGCCACACUGGGACUGAGACACGGCCCAGACUCCUACGGGAGGCAGCAGUAGGGAAUCUUCGGCAAUAGACGGAAGUCUGACCGAGCAACGCCGCGUGAGUGAAGAAGGUUUUCGGAUCGUAAAGCUCUGUUGUAAGAGAAGAACGAGUGUGAGAGUGGAAAGUUCACACUGUGACGGUAGCUUACCAGAAAGGGACGGCUAACUACGUG